UUUUAUCCAUAAUGGAAUGAGAGGCAGCUGCACACUUCAGAUCCACAUCUGGACCCUGCUUUACUACCUCUCAUAUUUGCACUGCCUCAUGAUCAUCAGUUCUGCUCCCUUUUGUGGUUUUACAGAGCUCCGCCUGCUAAAGGCACACAGAACUUUGUUCAAUGGAAAUGAUCACUCUGGCUUGUCUUUGCUGCAGACGCAAUGUGGAGGGCAUUGUGUGUCUUCCUUGGCUUCCAGCUGCUGGCAGGUCUUUGCAGUGGGGUGACAGUGACACAGAAGGAGAAGUUUAUAGCCAUCCAGAAUGGGAGCAAGGGAAGUAUCCCAUGUGAACAUGAUGACAGCUCUUACACUACUGUCCUGUGGUAUCAGCAGAAGGCUACAGAAAGGCAGCUGCAGUUAGUAGCCAUCUCCGUAGGUGUGGAUUCAUCAGACAUGGAAAAAGAGUUCAAAAACAGAUACAGUGUGACACGGCUGGCAACGCUGAACACCUCCCUGACAAUCAACCCCGGGAUGGUUGAAGACACUGCAGUGUAUUUCUGUGCAGCUAGUAAAGCACAGUGA